rnacentral:misc_RNA from 1 species
CCUCUGGCCACAUUGGUAUUACUAUAUACACUGAGAAAUGCUCUUUUGCACUAAUUUUGCUUGCAAUUUUCAAGGCCAAUUCCAUAGGGAUUAAGUUAUCUGCGCCUGCAUUUUUGUAUGAUGGCCAAUAGUAGGAAGAUCCAAGAAAAUACUGGUUCUCAAUGUAUAUGAAAUGUUGCGCUGAUCUUAUUACAUUUAUAUAUGCUGUAUGAAUGCUCUUAUCUACUUUCAGGUUCUUCCCACACACAAGAUUCUGAGCCAUAGCUUCGUCAGUAGCUUUUGGAAAACCCUUCACAGAUCCCGAGUCAAUAGACCGGAAUAUCUGCACAUGCCAAUUCUCAGGAUCUUCUUCAUCAGUGACACGCACAUUUUUGU